CCUACGGGGGGCAGCAGUGAGGAAUAUUGGUCAAUGGGCUUACGCCUGAACCAGCCAAGUCGCGUGAGGGAAGACUGCCCUAUGGGUUGUAAACCUCUUUUGUCAGGGAGCAACGCCGGCUACGUGUAGCCGGACUGAGAGUACCUGAAGAAAACGCAUCGGCUAACUCCGUGCCAGCAGCCGCGGUAAUACGGAGGAUGCGAGCGUUAUCCGGAUUGAUUGGGUUUAAAGGGUGCGUAGGCGGAAUGCCAAGUCAGCGGUAAAAUCGCGGGGCUCAACCUCGCUCCGCCGUUGAAACUGGCGUUCUUGAGUGGGCGAGAAGUAUGCGGAAUGCGUGGUGUAGCGGUGAAAUGCAUAGAUAUCACGCAGAACUCCGAUUGCGAAGGCAGCAUACCGGCGCCCAACUGACGCUGAAGCACGAAAGCGUGGGUAUCGAACAGGAUUAGAUACCCCUGUAGUC
rnacentral:rRNA from 1 species